rnacentral:tRNA from 1 species
GCAGGCGUGGCGGAACUGGUAGACGCGCACGGUUCAGGGCCGUGUGGAAGUUAUUCCGUGAGAGUUCGACUCUCUCCGCCUGCACCA